rnacentral:lncRNA from 1 species
CAAUGACGUAAUGCCUCGUUGUUAAACGUCAUUGCUACGUGUCUAGAUUUCCCAUAACCAUGGAAACACACUCUUGAGUUUCUAGAAAGAUUUUUAUUGAAGAGGAUAGACCCACUCUGAUUGUGAGUGGUACCUUGGGGUUCUGGAUCAUGUAAGAAGGAAAUUCAAGCUUGGCAUUAGACGCCAUCUCUUUGCUUCCUGACUGGAUACGAAAUGAGCAGUGUCCUUACUCUCCUGCCCUACCUGUGCACCAAAAAAAACCCUGACUUGAGAAGUAAAGUGACUAACACAUGCCUCUAGUCACUAGAGUCUGGUGUCCAUGGAUGGAGUCUGGCGCCAGUUGAAUGUACUUUGAAUGAAGGAACAAAGGGGGAAGGAGCAUGGAUGUGACAGAGGCAAUAUGGACACUGGUAUCUGAGUGACCAAUCCAUGGUAACAGAGUCAGGACCUUCAGCAAGGACCUUCAGCAGAGGAUGGAAGAGAGAACACAGAACUAAUCUAAUGUGACAACGCUGUCCUAGGAGCCAGGAGCCACUCACAUGGCUCCAGUUGCUUUAUUAAGACAAGAUUGCGAGAAUACAGAAGCUGAGAGGCCUGUCCAUAAACCAUCUGAGACGCCUGCUUGGAAGAGAAGGUAGCUUGGAGCAGAUAUGGAGAUGAUGGAAAGUUGUCGUUUUGAUCCUGUAAGAAUCAUUUGAAGAAUGGGAGCGGGGUGUACACUAAAAAUUCCAAAUGACUUUCUAGAGCUUCUCC